AUGUUAUUGGGAGAAAACGCACUGCAUAUUGUAACGACCCAAAUUUAUUAUUCACUAUUUAAGUGUUUAAUUAUUUGGUGACGUGGUUUUUAAGUAAGAUAAUAACUUUAAGUUAUUUAUCGAGAGCUUUGGUUAACGCGCGAGUUAGUGAGAGUUAGAACGUGUUGGGCCGUGUUAGUGGGCUUGAGGCACAAUGGGCCUUGUCACAUAAGUGGGG
rnacentral:lncRNA from 1 species